GGGCCUAUAGCUCAGUUGGUUAGAGCACCUGACUCAUAAUCAGGUGGUCCCA
rnacentral:tRNA from 1 species